rnacentral:rRNA from 1 species
CAUGAAGCCGGAAUUGCUAGUAAUGGCAGGUCAGCAUACUGCCGUGAAUACGUUCCCGGGCCUUGUACACACCGCCCGUCACACCAUGAGAGUCGGGGACACCCAAAGUCCGUAGUCUAACCGCAAGGAGGACGCGGCCUAAGGUGGGUUCGAUAAUUGGGGUGAAGUCGUAACAAGGUAAC